rnacentral:rRNA from 1 species
ACCUACGGGGGGCAGCAGUGGGGAAUAUUGGACAAUGGGGGAAACUCUGAUCCAGCGACGCCGCGUGAGUGAAGAAGUAUUUCGGUAUGUAAAGCUCUAUCAGCAGGGAAGAAAAUGACGGUACCUGACUAAGAAGCCCCGGCUAACUACGUGCCAGCAGCCGCGGUAAUACGUAGGGGGCAAGCGUUAUCCGGAUUUACUGGGCGUAAAGGGAGCGUAGGCGGCAUAGCAA